rfam:Lupinus angustifolius cultivar Tanjil chromosome LG16, whole genome shotgun sequence.
CGGAGAAACAUCAUUGAGUGCAGCGUUGAUGAAGUUUCGGGUAGAUGCCAAAUGAUUUUAUCAACGCUGCACUCAAUCAUGUUUUUU